rnacentral:lncRNA from 1 species
AGUUUAUACUUGACAUCCAUUUUAACCACCACCAGAGGGCGUGUCAUGAUGUAUGUACAACUUCCUAGGUCAAAGGUCAACGUCAAAAAAACUGGUUUCAGUUGACAAUCCUGUGUCCUGUGGUGAAGAUUGUGUCCGCUCUAUAUCUUGAGAACCAUUAUGAUUUCAAAUAUUAUACUUGACAUCCAUUUUAACCAACACCAGAGUGUGUGUCAUGAUGUAUGUACCACUUCCUAGGUCAAAGGUCUGUCUGUCUGUCUGUUGGUC